rnacentral:sRNA from 1 species
UUGGUUUUUUUGGAAGUAAAAAUCGUAACAAGGUUUCCGUAGGUGAACCUGCGGAAGGAUCAUUACCGAGUGAGGGCCCUCUGGGUCCAACCUCCCACCCGUGUUUAUCGUACCUUGUUGCUUCGGCGGGCCCGCCUCACGGCCGCCGGGGGGCAUCUGCCCCCGGGCCCGCGCCCGCCGAAGACACCAUUGAACGCUGUCUGAAGAUUGCAGUCUGAGCAUCUUAGCUAAAUCAGUUAAAACUUUCAACAACGGAUCUCUUGGUUCCGGCAUCGAUGAAGAACGCAGCGAAAUGCGAUAAGUAAUGUGAAUUGCAGAAUUCAGUGAAUCAUCGAGUCUUUGAACGCACAUUGCGCCCUCUGGUAUUCCGGAGGGCAUGCCUGUCCGAGCGUCAUUGCUGCCCUCAAGCACGGCUUGUGUGUUGGGUCCCCGCCCCCUGCUUCCAGGGGGCGGACCCGAAAGGCAGCGGCGGCACCGCGUCCGGUCCUCGAGCGUAUGGGGCUUCGUCACCCGCUCUUGUAGGCCCGGCCGGCGCCCGCCGGCGACCCCCCAUCAAUCUUUUCAGGUUGACCUCGGAUCAGGUAGGGAUACCCGCUGAACUUAAGCAUAUCAAUAAGCGGAGGAAAAGAAACCAACAGGGAUUGCCUCAGUAACGGCGAGUGAAGCGGCAAGAGCUCAAAUUUGAAAGCUGGCUCCUUCGGGGUCCGCAUUGUAAUUUGCAGAGGAUGCUUCGGGAGCGGCCCCCAUCUAAGUGCCCUGGAACGGGCCGUCAUAGAGGGUGAGAAUCCCGUCUGGGAUGGGGUGCCCGCGCCCGUGUGAAGCUCCUUCGACGAGUCGAGUUGUUUGGGAAUGCAGCUCUAAAUGGGUGGUAAAUUUCAUCUAAAGCUAAAUACUGGCCGGAGACCGAUAGCGCACAAGUAGAGUGAUCGAAAGAUGAAAAGCACUUUGAAAAGAGAGUUAAACAGCACGUGAAAUUGUUGAAAGGGAAGCGCUUGCGACCAGACUCGCCUGUAGGGUUCAGCCGGCAUUCGUGCCGGUGUACUUCCCUGCGGGCGGGCCAGCGUCGGUUUGGGCGGCCGGUCAAAGGCCCUCGGAAUGUAACGCCCCCGGGGCGUCUUAUAGCCGAGGGUGCCAUGCGGCCAGCCCGGACCGAGGAACGCGCUCCGCUCGAACCUGGCAUAAUGGUCGUAAGCGACCCGUCUUGAACCCCGGCAAAGGAUCUACAUCUACCCAAGGUUCGGGUGCAAACCC